rnacentral:lncRNA from 1 species
UUUGCAAAAUGAAUCAUUCUUGCAAAUCAAUUUUUGGGCCAUGAUUAUGGGAAGUCGAAUCCAUACAAGUCUUAUGGAGGUAUGUCCAUGUCUUUGAGGUCAUCUUUGUUGAGUUUGCACUUCUAGCCUUUCUUGGCCACAUAGGUCAUUUUUGCAAGAAUAACCCAAUUAUGCGUUGCAUAUGUCCAAUAGGAGAUUCCAUGUGUCUUGAGUCACU